rnacentral:rRNA from 1 species
UACGUAGGGACCGAGCGUUGUCCGGAAUCAUUGGGCGUAAAGAGCGUGUAGGCGGCCUUUUAAGUCCUGCGUGAAAUCCUGCGGCUCAACCGCAGACGGUCGUGGGAAACUGGAAGGCUAGAGUGCGGGAGAGGAGAGUGGAAUUCCCGGUGUAGCAGUGAAAUGCGUAGAUAUCGAGAGGAACACCAGUGGCGAAGGCGAGUCUCUGGACAUUUCCUGACGCUGAGGCACGAAAGCCAGGGGAGCAAACGGG